AAGACAAACAGAACUGUGGCAUGUUACUGCUUGUCCUUGUACUGCCAAGCUCAAGGGCUACAAAAAUAGACACAUGGGAUACAGCUUUAAGAUCUGCGCUGCCCCAAUAAAUAGGCUUGGGCACGUCUUUCUCUGUAGGUUUAACUGACCCCAAGGAACAUGUGGCAAUUCUCUAUGCUGCUGAUAUAAGGAGACUUCUAAAGGGCAUUUUAUGAAGAUGCCAUCCCAGGUUUGUGUCUGCAUGUUACGCCAGUGAAAGCAACAAUCAAUAACUAGGUCUAUUCUAAAAAUUACUUGUCUGCAUCUUUUUUUUCCAGUCUGCCUCCUGCCUGCGAGUCUUUUGGAUCUGAUCCAAGCUGCACUGCAGUGAAGGAGCUCUCUUUGUUCACGUUCCCUCUGCUGCAUCUGAGCCCAUUGAGCAAGUGGUUUCUGGGGUGAGGAUUUUCAGCAGGAUAGCAAAGAAGCACCUUGAAAAAAAAAACCAACAGAAAGACAGAAAUAAGUCUUAACCCACUGUUAAUCAUUAUCAGUGUGUUUCAAUAGAACCUCUAUGAUAGUGAAUAAAAACCAAUACUGUCAAGGCCAGUCUGAACAGCCUGCAUCCAGAAGCCCAGAGGUGAUAACCCUGUAUUCUGUUUUCAGAUCCAGCCUAGAUCCCUUGAUGGGGAGGGGAAUGUGCAGAAUUUUUCCUCCUCAACAGGAAAACUAAAAUCCAAGCACUGGCAUUUUUCUCCCUUGCACAAACUAUGUAGUUUUAACUACUUCAGUUCUCUAAAGUGUGGUGUGAGCUAUACACAAUUUCUAGUUCCACGCUUACUAGAUGAAAAGCAUCCAUAGUUACUAGUUCUCUUUAACCCACAAACAUGUAGCUGCUUUCAGUGUUGCCUUUGCAACGAAAAUGCCCUUGCAGACAGAAUCUCAAUGUGGGCUGCAAGCCAGCUCUGCAGAGCUGAGUCAUUGUUAUACAAGCAGGGCUGGGCUGGCACAGAAAAACACCUUUGUACUUUAACAUUAAACCACGUCAGC